rnacentral:rRNA from 1 species
GACGAACGCUGGCGGCGUGCUUAACACAUGCAAGUCGAGCGGAAAGGCCACUUCGGUGGUACUCGAGCGGCGAACGGGUGAGUAACACGUGAGUAAUCUGCCCCUGGCUUUGGGAUAGCCACCGGAAACGGUGAUUAAUACCGGAUAUGACCACUUCACGCAUGUGAUGGUGGUGGAAAGUUUUUCGGCCAGGGAUGUGCUCGCGGCCUAUCAGCUUGAUGGUGAGGUAAUGGCUCACCAUGGCUUCGACGGGUAGCCGGCCUGAGAGGGUGACCGGUCACACUGGGACUGAGACACGGCCCAGACUCCUACGGGAGGCAGCAGUGGGGAAUAUUGGACAAUGGGCGGAAGCCUGAUCCAGCAACGCCGCGUGAGGGAUGACGGCCUUCGGGUUGUAAACCUCUUUCGCCUGUGACGAAGUGCAAGUGACGGUAACAGGUAAAGAAGCACCGGCCAACUACGUGCCAGCCGCCGCUGUAAGAC